GGUUUUGUGGUGUAGUUGGUUAUCACGUCAGUCUAACACACUGAAGGUCUCCGGUUCGAAUCGGGCGAAGCCA
rfam:Brassica oleracea var. oleracea cultivar TO1000 chromosome C8, whole genome shotgun sequence